rnacentral:rRNA from 1 species
UACAGAGGGUGCGAGCGUUAAUCGGAAUUACUGGGCGCAAAGCGCACGUAGGUGGCGACGUAAGUCGGGUGUGAAAGCCCCGGGCUCAACCUGGUAAUUGCAUUCGAGACUGCAUUGCUGGAGUACGGAAGAGGAGGGCGGAAUUCCCGGCGUAGCGGUGAAAUGCGUAGAUAGCGGGAGGAACAUCAGUGGCGAAGGCGGCCCUCUGGUCCAGUACUGACACUCAAGUGCGAAAGCGUGGGGAGCAAACAGG